UUUCAAUACUAUUCAAAUACU
rnacentral:piRNA from 1 species